GGGCAGGUGCUCGAGUGGUUAAUGAGGACGGACUGUAAAUCCGUUGGCUUGCGCCUACAGUGGUUCGAACCCACUCCUGCCCA
rnacentral:tRNA from 1 species